rnacentral:sRNA from 14 species
GUGUGAAGGAAGGUAGUUCGUUUGGUGCAGAGCGAUAUAUAUUGAAUUGGAAAACGGCGCUGAGGUCGGAAGAUAACAUAUGAGGAUCUAGAUUUCGUGAAACUGCUUAGAUUGACCAUGUCUCCGUCAAUGAAGAGAAGUUUAUAUUGGAAACGACAAUUUUUCUAUUUUUUCCGAAGGAUGAUAUCAUUAAAUAAAAACCAGCAAGGAAGAGCAAAAGUCGGGCGGUGCCGACUGUAUAAUACCCUACACCUACCCUUUAAGUAUA